rnacentral:rRNA from 1 species
UACGGAGGGUGCAAGCGUUAUCCGGAUUCACUGGGUUUAAAGGGUGUGUAGGCGGGUAUUUAAGUCAGUGGUGAAAUCUCUGGGCUCAACUCAGAAACUGCCAUUGAUACUAUUUAUCUUGAAUAUCGUUGAGGUUGGCGGAAUAUAUCAUGUAGCGGUGAAAUGCAUAGAUAUGAUAUAGAACACCGAUUGCGAAGGCAGCUAACUAAACGAUUAUUGACGCUGAGGCACGAAAGCGUGGGGAUCAAACAGG